rnacentral:rRNA from 1 species
CCAUGCAUGUCUCAGUAUAAGCUUUUGAUUUGUGAAACUGCAAAUGGCUCAUUAAAACAGUUAUAAUGCAUUUGACAAUUGCUCCUACAUGGAUAUCUGUGGAAAUUCUAUAGUUAAUACAUGCACUGAAAACCUAUCUUGGGGGAAAGGUUGUGGUCGUUGGUUGCAGAACCAAUUCAAGCAUUGCUUGUAUAUUUGAUUGAAUCGCAAUGACAAAAUGAAUUACAUGGCAACAGCUGGUAAUAAUUCAUGCCAGUUUCUGACCUAUCAGCUUUCGACGGUAAGGUAUUGGCUUACCGUGGCAAUGACAGGUGACGGAGGAUUAGGGUUUGAUUCCGGAGAGGGAGCUUGAGAAAUGGCUACCACAUCUAAGGAAGGCAGCAGGCGCGCAAAUUACCCAAUCCUGGCACAGGGAGGUAGUGACAAGAAAUAACAAUACAAGGCAUCCAUGUCUUGUACUUGGAAUGAUUGGACAUCAAACCUUUCUAUAAGUAUCAAUUGGAGGGCAAGUCUGGUGCCAGCAGCCGCGGUAAUUCCAGCUCCAAUAGCGUAUAUUAAAGUUGUUGCGGUUAAAAAGCUCGUAGUUGGAUUUCUGCUGAGGAUGGCUGGUCCGCCCUCUGGGUGAGUAUUUGGCACAGCCUGAGCAUUUAUCUUGAAAGCACAACUGCACUUGACUGUGUGGUGUGUUAUUGAGAACAUUUACUUUGAGGAAAUCAGAGUGUUUCAAGCAGGUGUUUGGCCUUGAAUACAUUAGCAUGGAAUAAUAAUUAAGAUCAUGAUUCUUUUUGUUGGUUUCUAGAAUUGAGGUAAUGAUUAAUAGGGAUAGUUGGGGGCAUUCGUAUUUGAUUGUCAGAGGUGAAAUU